AAAAAAUUAUUAAAGUGCGAAGUGAUGUCAUGCGGCAGAAAACCAACAACAUACACAUGUGCAUGCCAAAAGGAGUAGUAUGGAGAGGCUCUGAUUGAAAUACCGCUUUCGUCUGGCACACGGGCAACAGCUUCAUUUCGACAGCGGCAACAAAGUUUAUUGGCAACAGACACACACACACACACACACACACAAAAGAAGUUCUCCUCGAAGCUCACAAAAAAUAUUCCCUAAGAUGUGCAAGUUCUUGGUUCACAUUUCUGAGUAAAAUUCUGAAUAACAUUUCGGAUCACAUUUCUGGAUACCUUUCUAAAAUUCAAAGCCGAAUUUCCUGUUUUCUAAUGGAAUAAUAGAAUUCUUAUGCUGCAUGUUCUGCCCAACCGUAGUCAUAUCGUCCUGUGGGUCCAGGCGGAUUCUGUGAGGAGGCAUUGGUAGUACGGCAUCGUCGGGGUUUUUUGCUUUCCCACAUACGUCUCCACAACGGUUGUCCUUAUGUCCUUGGGCGACUCGGACCACUCCGAUUAGCACAGAGCAAAAAAUUUUUGCCUAGUAUCGAGCUUCUGUUUGGUUUAAGAACUUCUACGGAUCAAAAACAUGUGGGCCUUGUGGAUCGUGUUCUCCCAUGUGCUGUGGAGGCUUCUGUAGUGGCUGUCGCUGAGUAAUAACGACAAUCGACAGGAUCUAUGCCUUCCAUCAACGCUCUGGUGACAGCUGCAGAAAGCUAGAACUCAAAGCUGCCUCAAAAAAAUAGCUUUAGGCUAGUUUUAUGAUAGUUUUAAAAAUAAACCAUUUAAAAAUAAAACA